rnacentral:rRNA from 1 species
GACGAACGCUGGCGGCGUGCUUAACGCAUGCAAGUCGAACGGAAAGGCCCUGCUUUUGUGGGGUGCUCGAGUGGCGAACGGGUGAGUAACACGUGAGUAACCUGCCCUUGACUUUGGGAUAACUUCAGGAAACUGGGGCUAAUACCGGAUAGGAGCUCCUACUGCAUGGUGGGGGUUGGAAAGUUUCGGCGGUUGGGGAUGGACUCGCGGCUUAUCAGCUUGUUGGUGGGGUAGUGGCUUACCAAGGCUUUGACGGGUAGCCGGCCUGAGAGGGUGACCGGCCACAUUGGGACUGAGAUACGGCCCAGACUCCUACGGGAGGCAGCAGUGGGGAAUAUUGCACAAUGGGCGGAAGCCUGAUGCAGCAACGCCGCGUGCGGGAUGACGGCCUUCGGGUUGUAAACCGCUUUCGCCUGUGACGAAGCGUGAGUGACGGUAAUGGGUAAAGAAGCACCGGCUAACUACGUG